rnacentral:rRNA from 1 species
UACGAAGGGGGCUAGCGUUGCUCGGAAUCACUGGGCGUAAAGGGUGCGUAGGCGGCGCGGUAAGUCGGGUGUGAAAUCUCGGGGCUUAACUCCGAAACUGCAUUCGAUACUGCCGUGCUUGAGGACUGGAGAGGAGACUGGAAUUUACGGUGUAGCGGUGAAAUGCGUAGAUAUCGUAAGGAAGACCAGUGGCGAAGGCGGGUCUCUGGACAGUCCCUGACGCUGAGGCACGAAGGCCAGGGGAGCAAACGGG